rfam:Lupinus angustifolius cultivar Tanjil contig_5847, whole genome shotgun sequence.
UGGGGUAGCUUAGUUAAGGGAAACAACCAAAAUCAUAGUGAAAGUAAAUCUUCAAUGGAUAAUUGUCAUUGUUAUAGAUUCGAACUUGGGUGAUAUAUCCAUGACUACGAUGAAGCUCGGCUGAAACUAAAUGAAGCAUAACCGACUGAUGUUGAAGAAUCAACGAAUGAGUUGUAGUGAUGAGUGAAAUGUCACUCGAGCCUAGAGCUAGCUGA